rnacentral:lncRNA from 1 species
UUAAUCUUCACUUCCGACCCAACAAACUGCACAUCGGCCUUGCUGGAACUUUCCCCAGUUUCUACUAUGUUUACCUCAUCAAACAGACUCUGGAACCUUUUAACCAAUUCUUCAUGAAAACACGGGCUUUGGAACUAUUGCUACUGGACGCUUCAUGACUCCCACCUUGAUGAUAGGCCUGGAGAGACGUGGGAUUGGAUUUGGGAGCGACCAUACCCUCCUUUUCACCUUUCUAUCUCUCUUCGUAUCAUCCACUAUAGGCUUGAACCCCAGACCAAAUGUACCCAUAUUUUCAUGCAAAGACACUAGCUGCAUAAUACCUUGCAGAUAUGCGCCUAGACCCUUGCCCAGUACAAAACAAUUUUUCAACAUUUCGGUAGCUACCAUGACGAUUGGAGAAGCUAGCUUUGGGCCCUGAAUGUAUUCCCCUUCUGCAACCUUUUCAAUUGACACCGUCUCGGAAACCUGGUAGACCCACGACCCUUUAUCUUCCUCAACUUCAAUAAAUGGAACAUAUAUGUCACUGAAAGCACAUAAGUUCUCAUUGCCAUGCACAAUAAUUUUUUGUCUAUCUUACUCGAACUUCACCAUCAGGUGCAGAGAAGAUGGAACUGCCUUGGUAACAUGUAUCCAAGGCCUUACCAAUAGCAAAUUGUAAGAAACGGCCACAUC